rnacentral:lncRNA from 1 species
CAGGGGUAGUUGAUGGAGCAUGAAUACUUAUAAGAGUUCAUAUCCAAGUGAUUUGUGGAGUGGGACAUGAACAAUGACCACAUGCAUAUACACAGGAUGAGGACCAGACUGAAUGACCCCCUAAAGGGAAUUAGGGUAUAAUAAAAGGCCACAAGUCCUUCAGUUUGUGGAUUAAUGUUGUAGGAAUCGGAUCAUGAUGGGUGAGAUCCACACUAUAUAAAAUUAAGAUUAUUGGAGGGGUUUGUGAUGUCCUAUAAGGUUUGAUGUACAUUUAUGGAGGGUGAAAGGAUAUUACUCCAGCAAAUCAGCCAUUAUUAAUGUCCCGAUGAAAAGAUGUCGUGCGGAGAUUAGAAGACCUUAAUACAUAUAUAAUCUAUAUUAUUUAUAUUUAAAUUAAAAUGUUAAAAACUCCCACGAGGAAUAAUAUUUUACUUGAAAAUAUUUCCAUAUAAAAAUAAAUUUUAACAAGGUUUUAGUGGUUUACAAGAUACUUUUAUGUUAAAUUUAUACUACAUUAUAAUAUAGUCCACUUUCAUUUUUUGUACAAAUUAUACGGGUAUGUACAAAGUCUGAU